UGCACACCGGAAAGAAAGAACUACCGCAGGUGCUCCUGUGCUUUUUCUUUGGUUUUUUCCCUAGGGAAGGUGCUUCGCCAUCGGUUGUGGCCUCGAAUUAGUCGAUUUGCAUCCAUCAACGAUUAAAAAGAAGAUCGACGAAGGCUGAGAGUUUUUCAGCCAACUCUUCCGGGCUCUUUGCCAUUGCCACGGCUGUGCCAAUCUGAUUCCUCUGCAAUCCAAAGGUCGCCGUUUGACGCUGUUGAGCGGUCUUUCUGGUGCCUCGUUUGCUUUUGGUGGCGGUAGGGUUUGCUUUGAGAACAGCAACCGUGGCGACGGCUGUCAGCUUGCGGGCGGUUGUCAAGGGGCGGCGGCCCUCUGCAGCUUGGAAAACUGCGUACAGCCUCUGUAAUUGGCCGGAAGGGGGCCAUUACAAUUGGCACACUUAGGAGGCUCCUUGCUCUCCUUUGUGCACAAUUUUGUGUCAUGUGCUUCUUUGCACUUGACACAUCGGUGUUCUACCAUGCAGUUCCUCUGUGCGUGGAAGAAUCGCUAACACCGAUGGCACUGAGCUGUUUUUCUUGAUUUUCUCGGUUUUUCAACCUUGACCAUCAGGCUGCAUAUUUUCAGAAUUAUGAAAAAGAAGGUCAAGAAUAAAAAAAGUACUUGAUCGGCAGUUGCAGUUGCAGUUGUAUUGGGUGGCCUAUAAAUGCUGCCUAAAAUAAUAUUUGAGUUGGAAUACCCACUUUUAGAAACAACGCUUUAAUACCAGGAAUUUUACUCUUUAAUCAAGUAACAACAGCUUAUCAUCAUUGAAAUGAAUUCAAAUGAAUUAGUUUGAUGAAUCAAUCCAUUGCAUUCCAACAAAAUUUUUGGUGCGAAAUAAACAAGCCCAUUUACAGGGAUGAGCGUGUCAACAAUACAAGGUACACAAUUCAAUUGUUUACUUGUCAACAACUGCGUAGACGUUAACAUUUGAAGUGAUGUCAACAAUAUCAAAUAUGUUAACAAUAUACAAAUAAUAGAUUAUGACAUUUAUGUCAAAAUUUGUUAUGCUAUUUGACUGUGAAAUGUAGGUAAUGGUUAAUAAUAAUACUUACGGGAAUUUUACAAUUGUCACAUAAACCCCGGAUAAGUAUUUUUAAAUCUAGCCACAUAUUUACUGCAUCUGCUUGUGACAUGUGUUUAUUAAGUUGCAUAUUGGGUUGUAGCUGCACUUUGUUUCGUAUAGUCCACACUUUCCAAGAGACUUUGAAAUGCAUUUCUAUACGAACACUACCUUGCGUCAAUAAGUAAUUUGAUUCUGCGACCACUUUUUAUAUAAAAUAUUCUCAGCAAGAAGAUUGCCCGUUAGAUAUACAUUAUACGCAGGGGCUCAAUUUUUGUUUUUAUCAAAAAAUGUUAUUAAUUAAAAAUUAAAAAAAUGUAUAAAUGCCAGCGAAUAGAAAUCAUAAUUUAUCAAAUUUCUGUCUCUAUAAUUUAUCUCUUGUCCACUGUACCUGCGUUGGUUUUGCCGGGGGGUUCGACCGACGACGACAUAAAGGGUCUAUCCUAAUAACUGCUUACCACAACUGACAAUAAAUACUAAAAUCGCGAAAUAUCCUGAUAUUCACUUUAUUGAUGGCAUUCUACAAGAUUUAUUCAUUAAUGAGUAGAGGUAAUUUUUAGGGUAACAAAUAAAAUUGAAAAUAAUUAUCCAAAAUGUGUUCGCCUAUUCGUUGACGAACGAAAACACUAUA